rnacentral:rRNA from 1 species
AGUCACUGACAUUAGAUACCCGUGUAGUCCAGGGUGUAAACGCUGCAGACUUGGUGUUGGAGGCCCUUUGGGGGCAUUCAGUGCCGGAGAGAAGUUGUUAAGUCUGCUACUUGGGGAGUACGUCCGCAAGGAUGAAACUUAAAGGAAUUGGCGGGGGAGCACCGCAACGGGAGGAGCGUGCGGUUUAAUUGGAUUCAACGCCGUAAAACUCACCAGGGAAGACUGUUACAUGAAGGCCGAGAUGAAGACUCUGCUAGAUUUUCAG